rnacentral:rRNA from 1 species
GACGAACGCUGGCGGCGCGCUUAACACAUGCAAGUCGAACGGAAAGGCCUGCUUUCCCUUGUGGAUUGCGGGUACUCGAGUGGCGAACGGGUGAGUAACACGUGAGUGAUCUGCCCCCAACUUGGGUAUAAGCCUGGGAAACUGGGUCUAAUUCCCGAUAGGACUGCAGGGUGGUGCCUGUGGUGGAAGACGAUUUUCUAGUGGUUGGGGAUGAGCUCGCGGCCUAUCAGCUUGUUGGUGGGGUAAUGGCCUACCAAGGCGGCGACGGGUAGCCGGCCUGGGAGGGUGGACGGCCACAUUGGGACUGAGAUACGGCCCAGACUCCUACGGGAGGCAGCAGUGGGGAGUAUUGCACAAUGGGCGGAAGCCUGAUGCAGCGACGCCGCGUGGGGGAUGACGGCCUUCGGGUUGUAAACUCCUUUCGACCGCGAGGAAGCCACCUGGUUGGAAGGGUGGUGACGGUAGUGGUAGAAGAAGCACCGGCUAACUACGUG